AUGGUGUUGGCUCAAGCAAAAAAAGGGGGAGAUUUGCGGCAGUUUGGUAAGAAAAGCUUCACUUUUUAUAUUUUAGAUCUGGGUCUAAUUGUUUUAAACUGUUUGGAGAUUUUAUCUCAAGGACGGUUAAGCAUCUGGAAGAGUUUUGGUUAAAAAUUAAUUUUGUUGUUUAUGAACGUGGUAUUACAUCGACCUGCGGUUUUGCGGUGGUAGAUCUGUCGUGGCGGCAACGCAUUUCCGGUGGAGAUUUUGAUAUUUAUCUGACCCUUCCAUGGGCUUAGGGUUUCAGGAGAUCUCGGUCGCAAGGUCUUUUCCAAUAUGGAAUUUUUUGUGGUGGUUAUGCGGAUUGGUUAGCAGAAUUUUGUGGGAAGUGGCGGUUCGAGUCGGUGAUGCAGCCUGUUAUAACAACCUGUUAUGGCAAAUGAAUGUUCUUUGUCAUAUUGUCUUUUAUGUCAUGUCAAACUAAGUUGAAAGCAUUCUACAUUUUAUUUCUUUGUAUUUCCCUAACACAGUUCGUUUUGUAUAGAUGUUAUCGGUGUCGUUGACACCGUGCUUUACACUCAGCAAAACUCUGGAGGGAAGAAGCCACCGAGUGUAAAUCAAUUUCAAUCUCAACAUAAUCUGCUUCUCUCUUUUAGGUAAAUUUGGAGCAUUAUUUGCAUCAAUACCGUUCCUAUAUUUGCUGUUAUAUAUUGCAUUUUAUUUGGUCUUGUGGGUAAGCACAAAUAAAUAUUUGGAUUUUCUUAAGUGUCAAUAAGAUUUUACCACUCUAUCUGUCUCCGUGAAUAUCUAUGGAGCUAUUACAAUUGCAGAAUAUGGUGAAGCGCGGCCAUUGCGGAACUUAGAUAUAUUAGGAAAAUAGCUAUGGAAACAAGUGAACUUCAAUAAAUCAGGACAACUGCUAGCAGCUUAUGGCUAUGGGGAUCCAGAAUUUAAGUCAUGAAUUUACACCUAACAAUGCGACGUGUACAAUUUUGGAGUUGAUAGGUUAGAACUUAUUGGCAGUAAUAGAAGCCAAGAAAGAAAUUUCACUUCAAGCUUAGAACUUCGGGUUUGAUCAAGCAAAAAUAUUCCGGGAUGAGGUAUUAACGGAACGGAAGUUGGAAAGGGAAGCAUGGCAGGAUUUAGCAACCAUUUAUACAGAGGAGCUCCUUUGAAUUUGAAGAGGCAGCUGGUUUUUUUGGAGCCAUUGGUGCAACUGGUUUUUUCAGAGUCAUGUUCUUAUCAAUAUUUUGGUUGAUCUGGUCCAGGUCAAUGAUUCGGAGAAAGGUUGGUUUUUGUAUGUUGAACGAUAAAACUAAUUUAUCUUUUUUCAAAGUUUUACUAAUAUACAGUCCAAAUGCUAGCUUCUCGCAGUAUUGGUCAGAACCGUGUACGCAGACUAUAUUUUGAACAUGCAGUUUAUAGUUCCUCCCCAAGAGCAAUGAUCGUUAUCCUCAUUAUUAGAGGGAGGCGGGACUGCUGCAAUCUUCUGCAAAAUGAUGUUAUCAAACUUAUUGUUAAGCAUACUCCAAUUUCAGCUACCAUCCUAAUCCUUCAGGUCAGCAAAAAUAGGCUCAUCAUGAUUAGAAUAUGUUUCUAACUGUGAAUCAAGG